rnacentral:rRNA from 1 species
AACGAACGCUGGCGGCAUGCCUAACACAUGCAAGUCGAACGAGACCUUCGGGUCUAGUGGCGCACGGGUGCGUAACGCGUGGGAACCUGCCCUUAGGUUCGGAAUAACUCCCCGAAAGGGGUGCUAAUACCGGAUAAUGUCUUCGGACCAAAGAUUUAUCGCCUUUGGAUGGGCCCGCGUUGGAUUAGCUAGUUGGUAGGGUAAAAGCCUACCAAGGCGACGAUCCAUAGCUGGUCUGAGAGGAUGAUCAGCCACACUGGGACUGAGACACGGCCCAGACUCCUACGGGAGGCAGCAGUGGUGAAUAUUGGACAAUGGGCGAAAGCCUGAUCCAGCAAUGCCGCGUGAGUGAUGAAGGCCUUAGGGUUGUAAAGCUCUUUUACCCGGGAUGAUAAUGACAGUACCGGGAGAAUAAGCUCCGGCUAACUCCGU